AGAGGAGCCAGGCCCAGGGUUGAGGUCUCAGAAGGCAGUGUUCUUGGGGCAUCUCCACUAUGGCCUGGACUCUGGUCCUCCUCACCCUCCUCAUUCAGAGCACAGGGUGCUGGGCCCAGUCCACCCUGACUCAGCCUCCCUCAUUAUCAGGGGCUCUGGGAAGUACUGUCACCAUCUCCUGUACUGGAAGCAGCAGUAACAUUGGGAGUAAUCCUUAUAUCUCCUGGUAUCAGCAGGCCUCAGGCACUUCCCCCAAGCUCCUGAUUUAUCGUGUAAGUUCUCGGCCAUCAGGGAUACCUGAUCGUUUCUCUGGUCUGAAGACUGGAAACACAGCCAUCCUGACCAUCUCAGGGCUCCAGGCUGAAGAUGAGGGGGAUUAUUACUGCACCUCAAUUGCUUCUAGUUAUGUUUCCCACAGUGGUGCAAGUUCAUGA